rnacentral:rRNA from 1 species
AACGUAGGAGACAAACGUUAUCCGGAGUUACUGGGCGUAAAGGGCGUGUAGGCGGUUUGUUAAGUCUGGCGUGAAAGCUCUCGGCUAAACCGGGAGAGGUCGUUGGAUACUGGCAAACUAGAGGACGGUAGAGGCGUGUGGAAUUCCGGGUGUAGUGGUGAAAUGCGUAGAGAUCCGGAGGAACACCAGUGGCGAAGGCGACACGCUGGGCCAAUACUGACGCUGAGGUGCGAAAGCGUGGGGAGCAAACAGG